GGUAUAGCCAAGUCGGUAAGGCACUAGACUCUGACUCUAGGAUUCGCUGGUUCGAGUCCAGCUACC
rnacentral:tRNA from 2 species